GACGAACGCUGGCGGCGUGCUUAACACAUGCAAGUCGAACGGAAAGGCCCUGCUUUUGUGGGGUGCUCGAGUGGCGAACGGGUGAGUAACACGUGAGUAACCUGCCCUUGACUUUGGGAUAACUUCAGGAAACUGGGGCUAAUACCGGAUAGGAGCUCCUGCUUCAUGGUGGGGGUUGGAAAGUUUCGGCGGUUGGGGAUGGACUCGCGGCUUAUCAGCUUGUUGGUGUGGUAGUGGCUUACCAAGGCUUUGACGGGUAGCCGGCCUGAGAGGGUGACCGGCCACAUUGGGACUGAGAUACGGCCCAGACUCCUACGGGAGGCAGCAGUGGGGAAUAUUGCACAAUGGGCGGAAGCCUGAUGCAGCAACGCCGCGUGCGGGAUGACGGCCUUCGGGUUGUAAACCGCUUUCGCCUGUGACGAAGCGUGAGUGACGGUAAUGGGUAAAGAAGCACCGGCUAACUACGUG
rnacentral:rRNA from 1 species